AACGAACGCUGGCGGCAGGCUUAACACAUGCAAGUCGAACGCAUCCUUCGGGGUGAGUGGCAGACGGGUGAGUAACGCGUGGGAACGUGCCCUUCAGUUCGGGAUAACCCAGGGAAACUUGGGCUAAUACCGGAUACGUGCGAGAGCAGAAAGAUUUAUCGCUGAAGGAUCGGCCCGCGUCUGAUUAGCUAGUUGGCGGGGUAAUGGACCACCAAGGCGACGAUCAGUAGCUGGUCUGAGAGGAUGAUCAGCCACAUUGGGACUGAGACACGGCCCAAACUCCUACGGGAGGCAGCAGUGGGGAAUAUUGGACAAUGGGCGCAAGCCUGAUCCAGCCAUGCCGCGUGAGUGAUGAAGGCCUUAGGGUCGUAAAGCUCUUUCGUCCGGGACGAUAAUGACGGUACCGGAAGAAGAAGCCCCGGCUAACUUCGUGCCAGCCGCCGCGGUAA
rnacentral:rRNA from 1 species